CUUUUUUCAUUUUUUUUGAUAGGCCUUGGGCUCGCCUAGAUCAUGAAAAUCAGAAUCUAUGGUUUACCUUUAUUAGGAAACACUUGGAAGGCAAAAGGAGGUUUAUAGAACUGUAGCAUGGAUGAAAUAAGUAAUACAGUGAAUGCUGUCUAAGACUUCUGUAAAAAAAAAUAUAUUUCAGCCUUGACAAAAGACCCUGAAGCUGCCUAAGUGAACUUGAC
rnacentral:lncRNA from 1 species